rnacentral:lncRNA from 1 species
GAGUCAACUUGCUUGAUAGUGUUUCACACACAACUAUAGUAUAUGGAUACUAAGUUAUAUUGGAAACACAAAUUGUAUUGUAGAGUAAAUGACCAGAUAACUGGAUAUAUUGAUAAGCAAGUAAAUGACCAGAUAACUGGAUAUAUUGACAAACAAGUAAAUGACCAGAUAACUGGAUAAUUUGAUAAACAAGUAAGUGACCAGAUAACUGGAUAAAUAUGAUAAGUAAUACUUGAACAAAUAUAAGGAUUUAGAGCAAUGAAUAUAACCUCAGAUAGUUGACCAGAUAACUGGAUGAGGGAUCUGCGUAAAGUAGUCAACCUCUGUGUUUGACCAGAUAACUGGAAGAGGGAUCUUUUUAAUUAAGUGUUGUUUUUUAAGUAAAAGAUAGAACUAUAAUUAACAGAGAACAACACAAGAGAUUUAUACUGGUUCACCCAAACAAGGGCUAGUCCAGUCCCGACCAACAGCCGGAAUUCACUCGCCUAAAGGUAAUGGCAAAACCUUUCUAAGCUUUAAGGCUACCUCGCUUAGGAACCAGUCUUUUACGGGUAGACUCACACCUUAGAGUAUCAAGGGCACUCUUAAGAACCUCUAACUUUUACGGGUAAGUUAGUACCUUAGAGUAUCAAGGAACUCUUAAAAACCUCUCUAAGCUUUAAGGCUACUUCGCUUAGGAACCAGUCUUUUACGGGUAGACUACAUCCUUAGAGUAUCAAGGGCACUCUUAAGAACCUCUAACUUUUACGGGUAAGUUAGUACCUUAGAGUAUCAAGGAACUCUUAAAAACCUCUGAAAUCUUUAAAGGUAGACUCAACCUAAGAGUUUUCCCGGAAACUCUAUAAAACCAAACUAGAGCUUUAUGGUUGAGCUCACAAACCUUCUCUAACACUUUGGU